rnacentral:rRNA from 1 species
AACGAUCGCUGGCGGCAGGCUUAACACAUGUAAGUCGAACGCCCCGCAAGGGGAGUGGCAGACGGGUGAGUAACGCGUGGGAACAUACCCUUUUCUACGGAAUAGCUCUGGGAAACUGGAAUUAAUACCGUAUACGCCCUACGGGGGAAAGAUUUAUCGGGGAAGGAUUGGCCCGCGUUGGAUUAGCUAGUUGGUGGGGUAAAGGCCUACCAAGGCGACGAUCCAUGGCUGGUCUGAGAGGAUGAUCAGCCACAUUGGGACCGAGACACGGCCCAAACUCCUACGGGAGGCAGCAGUGGGGAAUAUUGGACAAUGGGCGCAAGCCUGAUCCAGCCAUGCCGCGUGAGUGAUGAAGGCCUUAGGGUUGUAAAGCUCUUUCACCGAUGAAGAUAAUGACGGUAGUCGGAGAAGAAGCCCCGGCUAACUUCGUGCCAGCAGCCGCAGUAA